rnacentral:rRNA from 1 species
UACGGAGGGUGCGAGCGUUGUCCGGAAUCACUGGGCGUAAAGGGCGCGUAGGCGGCCUGAUAAGUAGGGGGUGAAAUCCUGCGGCUUAACCGCAGGGCUGCCUUCUAAACUGUCAGGCUAGAGCACAGUAGAGGCAGGUGGAAUUCCCGGUGUAGCGGUGGAAUGCGUAGAGAUCGGGAAGAACAUCGGUGGCGAAAGCGCUCUACUGGACCGCAACUGACACUCAGGGACGAAAGCUAGGGGAGCGAAUGGG